rnacentral:rRNA from 1 species
AGUGAACGCUGGCGGUAGGCCUAACACAUGCAAGUCGAACGGCAGCACAGUAAGAGCUUGCUCUUACGGGUGGCGAGUGGCGGACGGGUGAGGAAUACAUCGGAAUCUACUUUUUCGUGGGGGAUAACGUAGGGAAACUUACGCUAAUACCGCAUACGACCUACGGGUGAAAGCAGGGGAUCUUCGGACCUUGCGCGAUUGAAUGAGCCGAUGUCGGAUUAGCUAGUUGGCGGGGUAAAGGCCCACCAAGGCGACGAUCCGUAGCUGGUCUGAGAGGAUGAUCAGCCACACUGGAACUGAGACACGGUCCAGACUCCUACGGGAGGCAGCAGUGGGGAAUAUUGGACAAUGGGCGCAAGCCUGAUCCAGCCAUACCGCGUGGGUGAAGAAGGCCUUCGGGUUGUAAAGCCCUUUUCUUGGGAAAGAAAAGCAGCAGGUUAAUACCCCGCUGUUCUGACGGUACCCAAAGAAUAAGCACCGGCUAACUUCGUG